CUGGAACGCGCCCCAGGCGCACCCAGAAACCCUUUGUGAACUUAUACCUUACUGUUGCCUCGGCGCUAGCUGGUCCUCCGGGGCCCCUCACCCCCGGGUGUUGAGACAGCCCGCCGGCGGCCAACCUAACUCUUGUUUUUACACUGAAACUCUGAGAAUAAAACAUAAAUGAAUCAAAACUUUCAACAACGGAUCUCUUGGUUCUGGCAUCGAUGAAGAACGCAGCGAAAUGCGAUAAGUAAUGUGAAUUGCAGAAUUCAGUGAAUCAUCGAAUCUUUGAACGCACAUUGCGCCCUCUGGUAUUCCGGAGGGCAUGCCUGUUCGAGCGUCAUUUCAACCCUCAAGCCUGGCUUGGUGAUGGGGCACUGCUUCUUACCCGAGAAGCAGGCCCUGAAAUUCAGUGGCGAGCUCGCCAGGACCCCGAGCGCAGUAGUUAAACCCUCGCUCUGGAAGGCCCUGGCGGUGCCCUGCCGUUAAACCCCCAACUUCUGAAAAU
rnacentral:rRNA from 1 species